GACGAACGCUGGCGGCGUGCCUAAUACAUGCAAGUAGAACGCUGAAGGAGGAGCUUGCUUCUCCGGAUGAGUUGCGAACGGGUGAGUAACGCGUAGGUAACCUGCCUGGUAGCGGGGGAUAACUAUUGGAAACGAUAGCUAAUACCGCAUAAGAGUAGAUGUUGCAUGACAUUUGCUGAAAAGGUGCAAUUGCAUCACUACCAGAUGGACCUGCGUUGUAUUGGCUAGUUGGUGAGGUAACGGCUCACCAAGGCGAGGAUACAUAGCCGAACUGAGAGGGGGAUCGGCCACACUGGGACUGAGACACGGCCCAGACUCCUACGGGAGGCAGCAGUAGGGAAUCUUCGGCAAUGGACGGAAGUCUGACCGAGCAACGCCGCGUGAGUGAAGAAGGUUUUCGGAUCGUAAAGCUCUGUUGUAAGAGAAGAACGAGUGUGAGAGUGGAAAGUUCACACUGUGACGGUAUCUUACCAGAAAGGGACGGCUAACUACGUG
rnacentral:rRNA from 1 species